GAGGAAAGUCCGGGCUCUACUUAUAAAAAUAUAGCUGUAUAAAUUACAGUAUGGGAGACCAUUAGGAUUGUGCCACAGAAAUAUACCGCCUAAUUAUUUAGGUAAGGGUGCAAUGGUUCGUUAAGCGCGUACCAGAAAUAUUCUUAAGAUAUUUGCUAGGUAAACUCCGUAUUAGAGCAAAGUAGUAAUUGAAUUAUCAAAUGAAUUUCCUUAUAAGUAAAUUUAGAUUCUUUAUAAUUUAUAGUUAAUCAAUUCAAGCUGCAUAAAGUAUGUCAAUACCAUAGAUCAAUAACUACCCUUUUUGAUUGUUAAAUUGUCUAUUUACAUUUGAAAAGAACCAAACCCGGCUUAU
rnacentral:RNase_P_RNA from 1 species